GGAAUUGGACAGUGGCAAGUUGUCGAGACUUCUCAGGCCGCUCGUCUCAUAAUGGUUUUUCUCGACAGUAGCCAUAGUGGCGCCACCAUGGAGGAUACAGAAUGAUGACACAACAACUAACAACAAAUGAUGAUGAUGAUGAUACAAUUUGUGGUUUUGUUUCAUCAUUUGAUGUUUAAGAAUCAGACAAUUAAUUUUAUCAAAGUUGUUAUCAUUAAAUUUAA